rnacentral:tRNA from 1 species
AGGGAUGUAGCUCAGUGGUAGAGCACUUACCUAGUAUGCAUGAAACUCUGGGUUCAAUCCCAGCACACCAC